GACCAUUCCGGUGUCCUAAGUGGUUAUAACUUUCACCUCAGAUGCGGAAGGUCGUGGGUUUAAGCCCCGUCCGAGUCA